GCUGGGCACAGUGGCGCUCGCCUGUAAUCCCAGCACUUUGGGAAGCUGAGGCAGGAGGAUUAUGAGUUCAAAGCCAGCCUCAG
rnacentral:sRNA from 1 species